UUAGACGGUGGCGUGCGAAAUGGAACUGACGUUACUAAAGCAAUUGCGUUAGGUGCUAAAGCUGUAUUUAUUGGUCGUCCUGUGCUAUGGGGCUUAGCACACAAUGGUCAAGAAGGGGUGAGACAUGUUCUGGAAAUGUUACGAGACGAAUUUAAAACUGCACUUCAACUUAUGGGAUGUACUUCAGUAGAAGAGUUGCAGUCUGGUGUUAACAUGGUCGCAAUCCUAUUUCAAGUCAAACUUUUAAACCUACAAUAUCAUGAUUCACAAUGCUUAUUUAAACACUAUCACUAAAUGAAAGUGUUUUUAUUUUGCAAUUCUGUUAAUUUUUGCUAUAUUUGGUUCGGCUAAAUGUUAGAGUCAUUUUUUUAUUUAGUUCAAUUUUUAAAAUAAAUGUUGUUGGUAAUUGUUUUUUUUUGGAACUUUGUCUAUUUUCUGCUUUUGCUACACCCAGUUAGCCUUUUUUUAUAAUAAGUUUUCUAUCUUGUACAAGUUUUCAAGUUUUCUAUCAUACAUUUAUCUGUAUUCAUUAUCAAUUCGCCAUUGUGCAACAUUUAACCUGAGGGUCCAUAUAUAGGUCUUCAAUACCGUAUAUAGUAGUACUGAAGAUUAAGCCGGAAUACCAUUUACACCUAAAUCCCAUAUUUUCAUAUUGUGUUUUGAUCAACUACCACCGCUAUUUUAUACCAGCAUGGCCACGAAUAAAUUAUUCUGCAUAUAUUCGUUAAAUCUUUGCGAUCUUCUAAAAAUUACGUUUUUAUGAUUUUGAUUUUUUAAUGUUUUGUUGUACCCUACACAUACAUAUGCAGAAGCAAUAAACUGUAAGAUUUAUAUAAACUUUAGUUAACCAGAAACCGUACAAGCAACAU